UACUCUCUCCUACCUGCCCUGCCACUUCUUUCCAAAAGAAUCCCCUAUCCUUAGUCCUGUCCCCUUAUUAUUGCUGACAGAGGGAUUUUCCUAUGAUUGUAAUCUGGGCCACUCAUUCUUCUGCUUAAAAAGUUUCCACAUUCCCUGGAGCUUUUAGGACAAAGCUAGCGUAGUAUUCCAGGCCUUCAUUUUCUGACAUUGAGUCGCACUUUUCUAUAAUUUCCCACACUACCUGCACGUCCUGUGCAGUUUCAUACCCUCUAGCCUUUGCAUAUACUCCACCCUCUGUCCGCAUCCCCUGUUCCCCUUCUUCACCUUGUCAACUCCUAUGUAUCUAGACUUCUGCCUCUGGGCAGUCUUCCCCAAUUUUCCCCUAGUCUGACUAGAUGCCCCUUCCCUGGGCCUCCAGCAGACCCUGUCCCUACUUUGUGGCGUUUACCAGACUACAUUGCAAUAAUGGAUUCCACUGUCUCCUCCUCCAUCAUUCGUUUUUCUCAAAAUGUGAUUCAUGAUCUCCCUGUUUCAGAAUCACUUGUGAUGUUUGUUUAACAAACAGGCUCCUGGGUCUUAUCCCAGAUCACCAGCUCAGAUUCUUUGCAGGACAGAGCCUAGAAAUCUGCAUUUUGAACAUUUCCUGAGAUGAUUCUAACUUGUACCAAGUGUAAGAACCACCACACUAGACAGGGAAGUGGCCAUGCUUUCUUGUACCCCUGCAUCUAACACAGUGUGUGGCACAAAGUAAGCUCACAAUGAACGUGCUCUGAAUGAAUGAGUUAAUGAGCAGCCCUGGUCAAGGACAACCCAAACGGAAGGCAAAUAUAUUGGGCUGCAGAGAUUCCAGGCGCCAGCAGAUGGCGCUGUGUCAGCAGAAAUGCUUUUCCGUGAAGGGCGGGAAGACAGGAAGUUUUGUUUUACCGGAAUUCAAGCCUCAAAUGCAUAAUUGAACUUAUUUUUUCCUGUUCAGUUUACCUACCAUUGUCCUACUUGCUUAAGUAAAUUUAUUUCUGAAAGCAUGAAGACUUCGAGAAGAAAAAUAAGUGGGAGGAGACUGGUUAUGGAGGAGAGCUGAGCAGUCUGAAAGCCCAAGUCUUCCUUCUGGGGAUCCAGGCUGAUGGAGCACCUAUAACUGGAAACGUGCUGGUCGCCAUGGCAAAGGAAAAGAGGAGUUUCUGCUUGAAAGCGACACUGCCCAGGGUCAGAAGCAUUGUUUUAAGGAGCAAAUCAAAAUGACUGAUAAUGUAAAGAGCAUAUAACUUAUCAUUUUAAAGCACUUAGACGUGGAUAGAACUUCUAAAUGCUUCACUGGAAUUGGAACAGUUUAUUCUUUGUUCUCUUUAUUCUCAGAGCACAGAAGGUUAUAGGCCUCAGAGUUAAGAUCUAGUUCUUACUCAAUGGUUAAGGAAAGGCAGCUAACAAGAUGGAAACUAACAAGAAUCCAUGUAUCAUUAUCGGGUGAGUUUCCCAAUACAGAGCUUUAUAACAGGUAUUGAUUCCAAAUCUAUAGCAAUAUUGUAGGUCUCAUCCUUGGGGUAGCUGGACAGAGUCUUGGGGUGGGGAAACUCCUGAGCCUAUUGUCUUUGGUAAUGACUAGCCUCACUCUUCUACUCCUGAAUGCUAUUGCUAAUAAUAAUUACAAAUAUUAUUAUUUUAUAUGUGCUGGCAAGAAACACUGGCUAGAGCAAUGGUUACUAUAUUCUGGAGACUAAUACUAGCUUAUGAGCAUGUCUUUACCAACCUAGAAAAGUGAGAAAAAUAACUAAUGUUUAAUUAGUGCAAUUGACUGGAUGUUUAUGUUCCCUCAAAAUUCAUAUGUUGAAAUCUUGACCUAAUGUGAUAGUAUUUGGAGACUUUGGGGGGGGUAAUUAGGUCAAAAGUGUGGAGCCCUCAAGAAUGAGAUCAGUGCCCUUUUAAGAAGAGGCCUAAUGGAAGAAUGUACUUACCAAGAACCCAAUCAUGCUGGCAUCUUCAUCCCAGCCUUCAAGCCUCCAGAAUGUGAGAAAUAAAUAUUGGUUGUUUAAGCCACUCAAUUUGUGGUGAUGUGUUAGAGCAGCCCAGAAUAAGACAGUGAGUAAUGUUUGCAUAAAACUUUUUAAUUCAAAAGGCUGUACUUGAUUUCAAAAUUAUAUCCUUACUGUUUUUGAGAGAAAAAAAAUUUUUUGUAAAUUAAAAAUACACCAAAAUACUGCUUAUUACCUAUCAGAUUGACAAAAAUUCAAAAGCUAAACAUUAAUAGCCCGGCCAGUAUGACUCAGUGGUUAAGCAUCAACCUAUGAACCAGGAGGUCAAGGUUCGAUUCCCUGUCAGGCACAUGCCUGGGUUGAGGCUUGAGCCCCAGUGGGGGUGUGAAGACGGCAGCUCUAAUUCUCUCUCAUCAUUGAUGUUUCUAUAGCUCUCUCUCCAUCUCCCUUCUUCUCUGAAAUCAAUUAAAAUAUAAAUAUAAAUAUAUAUAUAUAUUUUUAAGUUUAACCAAAUAAUCUUUUGGUGAGGCUGUUAACUGACAGUACUUUUAUAUGUUGCAGGUGGGAAUGUAAAAUAAUAUGAUUUGCAUGAAAAAGAAUUUAGCAAUAUCUAGAAAAAUUAUAUGUGUAUUUACACUUUGACCCAACCAUCCUGCUGUUAGAAAUGUCUCCCAAAGUUAUACUGGCAAAAUAGAUAUGAGAUGAGCUAUUAAUUGCUCUAGUGUCAUGGUAACAAGACACUGGAGAUGCCCAUUUUUUAGUGGGCUGUUGAAUAAGAAAUGGCCCACCCACACAAAGGAAGCUGUAAAGAAAAUAAGAAAUAACUGUGUGUACUGCUAUGGAGUGAAUUCUAGGAUAUGUGUUUGCCUGUUGCAAAUCAACAUGAAGAAAAUUGUGUGUACUAUGUUACUACUUAUCUAAGAAAACUGAAGGGGGAGGGGAUAAAAUUACAGAUAUAUGCAUAUAUUUUUUAAAAGGCUAACCCAAAAUUAAAAAAAGCCGUCCUCUAUAGGAGAGAGCGAUCAGGGUAGAGAGGACAGGGAUAGUAGCUACAUUUUUUCUCUAUAUACUUUGUUUGGUAAAUAUGUCUUAUUUUGUAAAUUUUACAUAAUUAUGAAAUAAAGUUAAAUUAAAAAAUAAGUCCCUGAACAUUAGAAUCAAAAUGAAACAAAUGAGUCUAACUCUAUAUUGAGUAGAUGCCAUAACCACAGAGAGAGGAACUAUUUCAAGUACUUAAAAAAACACACCAGUAACUUCACUAUAUAUUCUUUAUGGAGUAUACCCAAAUAACAAAAAAUAUUAUAAACUUUUUUAGACUGUAAUCAUAUUGUUGGUGGUAGAGGCAGUAUUGUUGAUCUAAAACUGUUUCUUGUGUGUGUUUUCUAGGAUAAAGCAAUUGGGCAAUUAUAUUGAGGUAUUUGGGAACCAAGAUUUUUGCUAUGGGAACAAAGAUAUACAAAUGUAAGAACAGUGAGGUUCAUUUAAAUACCUUGAAUCCUACCCUAGCCGGUUUGGCUCAGUGGACAUUGGUUGCAGGCUCAAUUCCCAGCCCUGGUGUGUGGGAGGCAACCCAUGGACAUGUUUCUCUCUCUCUCUCUCUCUCUCUCUCUCUCUCUCUCUCUCUCCUCCCUUCAACCCCUCCCUCCUAAAAAUCAAUGGAAAAAUAUCCUUGGGUGAGAAUUAACAAAAACA